CAGCAGCCACGGUAAUGCGGAGGGGGCUAGCGUUGUUCGGAAUUACUGGGCGUAAAGCGCACGUAGGCGGCUUGGUAAGUUAGAGGUGAAAGCCUGGAGCUCAACUCCAGAAUUGCCUUUAAGACUGCCGAGCUAGCAGGUGAGAGAGGUAAGUGGAAUUCCGAGUGUAGAGGUGAAAUUCGUAGAUAUUCGGAAGAACACCAGUGGCGAAGGCGGCUUACUGGCUCAUACUGGACGCUGAGGUGCGAAAGCGUGGGGAGCAAACAGGAUUAGAUACCCCCGUAGUCCCUGUCUCUUAUAC
rnacentral:rRNA from 1 species